rnacentral:rRNA from 1 species
GCCUGAUGAGCCAUGCCGCGUGUGUGAAGAAGGCCUUCGGGUUGUAAAGCACUUUCAGUCGUGAGGAAGGUGGUGGAGUUAAUAGCUGUAUCAUUUGACGUUAGCGACAGAAGAAGCACCGGCUAACUCCGUGCCAGCAGCCGCGGUAAUACGGAGGGUGCGAGCGUUAAUCGGAAUUACUGGGCGUAAAGCGCAUGCAGGUGGUUUGUUAAGUCAGAUGUGAAAGCCCGGGGCUCAACCUCGGAAUAGCAUUUGAAACUGGCAGACUAGAGUACUGUAGAGGGGGGUAGAAUUUCAGGUGUAGCGGUGAAAUGCGUAGAGAUCUGAAGGAAUACCGGUGGCGAAGGCGGCCCCCUGGACAGAUACUGACACUCAGAUGCGAAAGCGUGGGGAGCAAACAGGAUUAGAUACCCUGGUAGUCCACGCCGUAAACGAUGUCUACUUGGAGGUUGUGGCCUUGAGCCGUGGCUUUCGGAGCUAACGCGUUAAGUAGACCGCCUGGGGAGUACGGUCGCAAGAUUAAAACUCAAAUGAAUUGACGGGGGCCCGCACAAGCGGUGGAGCAUGUGGUUUAAUUCGAUGCAACGCGAAGAACCUUACCUACUCUUGACAUCCAGAGAACUUUCCAGAGAUGGAUUGGUGCCUUCGGGAACUCUGAGACAGGUGCUGCAUGGCUGUCGUCAGCUCGUGUUGUGAAAUGUUGGGUUAAGUCCCGCAACGAGCGCAACCCUUAUCCUUGUUUGCCAGCGAGUAAUGUCGGGAACUCCAGGGAGACUGCCGGUGAUAAACCGGAGGAAGGUGGGGACGACGUCAAGUCAUCAUGGCCCUUACGAGUAGGGCUACACACGUGCUACAAUGGCGCAUACAGAGGGCAGCAAGCUAGCGAUAGUGAGCGAAUCCCAAAAAGUGCGUCGUAGUCCGGAUUGGAGUCUGCAACUCGACUCCAUGAAGUCGGAAUCGCUAGUAAUCGUGGAUCAGAAUGCCACGGUGAAUACGUUCCCGGGCCUUGUACACACCGCCCGUCACACCAUGGAAGUGGGCUGCA